rnacentral:rRNA from 1 species
GGAUGAACGCUAGCGACAGGCUUAACACAUGCAAGUCGAGGGGCAGCGGGGUUGUAGCAAUACAACUGCCGGCGACCGGCGCACGGGUGAGUAACACGUAUGUAACCUGCCCUCUGCAGGGGGAUAAGCGGAAGAAAUUCCGUCUAAUACCGCAUAAUACAAUUUGGAGACAUCUCCGGGUUGUCAAAGGAGUGAUCCGGCAGAGGAUGGACAUGCGGCGCAUUAGCUAGUCGGCGGGGUAACGGCCCACCGAGGCUACGAUGCGUAGGGGUUCUGAGAGGAAGGUCCCCCACACUGGUACUGAGACACGGACCAGACUCCUACGGGAGGCAGCAGUGAGGAAUAUUGGUCAAUGGGCGGAAGCCUGAACCAGCCAAGUCGCGUGAGGGAAGACGGUCCUAUGGAUUGUAAACCUCUUUUGCAGGGGAGCAAGGCGCGGUACGUGUACCGCGAAGGAGAGUACCCUGAGAAAAAGCAUCGGCUAACUCCGUGCCAGCAGCCGCGGUAAUACGGAGGAUGCGAGCGUUAUCCGGAUUUAUUGGGUUUAAAGGGUGCGCAGGCGGACUGUUAAGUCAGCGGUAAAAUGUCGGUGCUCAACACCGGCCGGCCGUUGAAACUGGCAGCCUUGAGUGAGCGAGAAGUAUGCGGAAUGCGUGGUGUAGCGGUGAAAUGCAUAGAUAUCACGCAGAACUCCGAUUGCGAAGGCAGCAUACCGGCGCUCAACUGACGCUCAGGCACGAAAGCGUGGGUAUCGAACAGGCUUAGAUACCCUAGUAGUCCACGCAGUAAACGAUGAAUGCUCACUGUCCGGGCCGUUUAAGGCCUGGGUGGUCAAGCGAAAGCGUUAAGCAUUCCACCUGGGGAGUACGCCGGCAACGGUGAAACUCAAAGGAAUCGACGGGGGCCCGCACAAGCGGAGGAACAUGUGGUUUAAUUCGAUGAUACGCGAGGAACCUUACCCGGGCUCAAACGGAAGGGGACAGUAUGAGAAAUCAUACAUUCCUUCGGGACCGCUUCCGAGGUGCUGCAUGGUUGUCGUCAGCUCGUGCCGUGAGGUGUCGGCUUAAGUGCCAUAACGAGCGCAACCCCUAUCGACAGUUGCUAGCAGGUAAAGCUGAGGACUCUGUCGAGACUGCCGGCGCAAGCUGUGAGGAAGGCGGGGAUGACGUCAAAUCAGCACGGCCCUUACGUCCGGGGCGACGCACGUGUUACAAUGGCAGGUACAGCGGGAAGCCACCCGGCGACGGGGCGCAGAACCCGAAAACCUGUCUCAGCUCGGAUUGGAGUCUGCAACCCGACUCCAUGAAGCUGGAUUCGAUAGUAAUCGCGCAUCAGCCACGGCGCGGUGAAU